rnacentral:rRNA from 1 species
GAGUUUGAUCGUGGCUCAGAUUGAACGCUGGCGGCAUGCCUUACACAUGCAAGUCGAACGGCAGCAUGAUCUAGCUUGCUAGAUUGAUGGCGAGUGGCGAACGGGUGAGUAAUACAUCGGAACGUGCCCUGUAGUGGGGGAUAACUAGUCGAAAGAUCAGCUAAUACCGCAUACGACCUGAGGGUGAAAGUGGGGGACCGCAAGGCCUCAUGCUAUAGGAGCGGCCGAUGUCUGAUUAGCUAGUUGGUGGGGUAAAGGCCCACCAAGGCGACGAUCAGUAGCUGGUCUGAGAGGACGAUCAGCCACACUGGGACUGAGACACGGCCCAGACUCCUACGGGAGGCAGCAGUGGGGAAUUUUGGACAAUGGGCGAAAGCCUGAUCCAGCAAUGCCGCGUGUGUGAAGAAGGCCUCGGUUGUAAG